rnacentral:rRNA from 1 species
UUAUGACCUGGGCUACACACGUGCUACAAUGGCGUAUACAACGAGUUGCCAACCCGCGAGGGUGAGCUAAUCUCUUAAAGUACGUCUCAGUUCGGAUUGUAGUCUGCAACUCGACUACAUGAAGUCGGAAUCGCUAGUAAUCGCGGAUCAGCACGCCGCGGUGAAUACGUUCCCGGGUCUUGUACACACCGCCCGUCACACCAUAGGAGUUUGUAAUGCCCAAAGCCGGUGGCCUAACCUUUUAGGAAGGAGCCGUCUAAGGCAGGACAGAUGACUGGGGGAAGUCGUAACAAG